rnacentral:siRNA from 1 species
AGCGUACUUGUGGUCCGGUGGU